GCGCAUGCUUAACACAUGCAAGUCGAGCGGUAAGGCCUUUCGGGGUACACGAGCGGCGAACGGGUGAGUAACACGUGGGUGAUCUGCCCUGCACUCUGGGAUAAGCUUGGGAAACUGGGUCUAAUACCGGAUAUGACCACAGCAUGCAUGUGUUGUGGUGGAAAGAUUUAUCGGUGCAGGAUGGGCCCGCGGCCUAUCAGCUUGUUGGUGGGGUAAUGGGCCUACCAAGGCGACGACGGGUAGCCGACCUGAGAGGGUGACCGGCCACACUGGGACUGAGACACGGCCCAGACUCCUACGGGAGGCAGCAGUGGGGAAUAUUGCACAAUGGGCGGAAGCCUGAUGCAGCGACGCCGCGUGAGGGAUGAAGGCCUUCGGGUUGUAAACCUCUUUCAGCAGGGACGAAGCGUGAGUGACGGUACCUGCAGAAGAAGCACCGGCUAACUACGUGCCAGCAG
rnacentral:rRNA from 1 species